rnacentral:rRNA from 1 species
UACGAAGGGGGCUAGCGUUGCUCGGAAUCACUGGGCGUAAAGCGCACGUAGGCGGAUUGUUAAGUCAGGGGUGAAAUCCUGGAGCUCAACUCCAGAACUGCCUUUGAUACUGGCGAUCUUGAGUCCGGGAGAGGUGAGUGGAACUCCGAGUGUAGAGGUGAAAUUCGUAGAUAUUCGGAAGAACACCAGUGGCGAAGGCGGCUCACUGGCCCGGUACUGACGCUGAUGUGCGAAAGCGUGGGGGAGCAAACAGG